rnacentral:lncRNA from 1 species
GUGGUUUAACCUUAGUAGGUAGUCAAGCACCACACAGGCACUUUCUCACUCCUCCUCCUCAAAGUAACAGGGCAGAAAACAAAAUGAAAAAACUCAUUGUUUGAGAUAAGGACAAGGGAGAUCACUUACCAAUUACCAUAAUGGGCAAAACAGACUCAGUGUGGGGACAGUAAUAUAAUUUAUUGCCUAUUACUGGCAAACUAGAGCACUGAGAAACUAAAAGCAAACUAAAACCACCUCUCCCCUAUCUGCCCUCUUCUAUAUUCUCCCCCUGAGGGAGUGCAGGGGAAUGGGGAAUGCGGGAUACGGUCUCCAAAUGCUUUGUCUCCUCCUCUCCUUCAUGGUCACUCCCUGCCCCUGCUCCACGUGGGGUCCUUCCCAUGGGAUGCCGCUCUUCCUGAACUGGUCCUGUGUGGGCUUCCGACAGGCAGCAGCUCCUCAAGAACUAUUCCCACAUGGCUCCAUUCCCACAUGGGUCCAUCCGUCAGGAGCAAACUGCUCCAGCAUGGGUCCCCCUUGGGCGGCAGCUCCCCCACAGACCCACUGCUCCUGCAUGGGCUCCUCUCCAUGGGCUGAAGCUCUGGCCCGGAGCCUGCUCCUGUGGGGGCUCUCUAUGGGCCUCAGCCUCCUCCAGGCCACAUCCACCUUCUCCACUGGGGGCUCCUCCAUGUGCUGCAGCAUGGAGAUGUGGUCUGCCACAGGACCCAUGGGCUGCAGGGGGACAGCCUGCUCCACCAGGGGCCUCGCCACAGGCCACAGAGGAACUGCUGCUGCAUGCCUGGAGCACCUCCUGCCCUCUUUCUGCACUCAGCUUGCGGUCUGCAGGGCUGGUUCUCACCCUUCUCUCUCAGCUGCUGUUGCACAGUAUUUUUUUUUUCCCUUUCUUAAACCUGCUCUUACAGAGGCACAACCAAUGUCACUCACUGGCUUGUCUCUGGCCAGCGGCAGGUCUCUUUUAGAGCUGGCUGGAGCUGGCUCUGCAUGGGGCAGCUUCUGGGCUCUUCUCACAGAGGCCACUACUGCAGCACCCCUGCUACCAAACCCUUCCUACAUAAGCACAGU